GAUGAACGCUGGCGGCGUGCCUAAUACAUGCAAGUCGAGCGAACAGACGAGGAGCUUGCUCCUCUGACGUUAGCGGCGGACGGGUGAGUAACACGUGGAUAACCUACCUAUAAGACUGGGAUAACUUCGGGAAACCGGAGCUAAUACCGGAUAAUAUAUUGAACCGCAUGGUUCAAUAGUGAAAGACGGUUUUGCUGUCACUUAUAGAUGGAUCCACGCCGCAUUAGCUAGUUGGUAAGGUAACGGCUUACCAAGGCAACGAUGCGUAGCCGACCUGAGAGGGCGAUCGGCCACACUGGAACUGAGACACGGUCCAGACUCCUACGGGAGGCAGCAGUAGGGAAUCUUCCGCAAUGGGCGAAAGCCUGACGGAGCAACGCCGCGUGAGUGAUGAAGGUCUUCGGAUCGUAAAACUCUGUUAUUAGGGAAGAACAAAUGUGUAAGUAACUAUGCACGUCUUGACGGUACCUAAUCAGAAAGCCACGGCUAACUACGUG
rnacentral:rRNA from 1 species